GCGUACCGCCGGCGGCCCCGCCCCGCGAAGCCUAGCACUCUCCCCAAACCUCUCUCGCACGCGGGGACUGAGCACGGCCCGAAAAGCCGAGGACAGCCGGACUCACCCUGUAGUUAUAGUAGUGCGUCUGCACAAGAUGCCGGUGGCGCGACUUGUGGUUGCCGAAGUUGGAUUUCUCGCAAACCAAGAUGGGGUCUUGCUGUGUUGCCCAGACUGGUCUCAAACUCCUGAGCUCAAGUGAUCCACCCACCGUGGCCUCCCAAAGUGCUGAGAUUAAAGGACUUCGUUAUAAAGUAAGGCCUGUGCCCUAGAUGUCCCUGGAGACAGCGCCAUCUGGUGGAACUUCCUGUAACGAUCGAGAUGUUCCGUCUGUGCCGUCCAACAUGGGAGCCAUGCAGGACACAUGGUGACUGAGCACUGGGACUGUGUGCCGCGUGACCAAGAGCAGCUCAGCUCUAAAGUCUCCUCCAGCUUUAUGAUGUCACUUCCUGUAUCUUCUCUACACAUUCUUUCCUUCAGCCUGUUGUUUGUAAGUUUUUAUGUAGGAAAGUAGAAAAUUCAGAAUAUGUUUCAUCAGGUUUUUGUUUGGCAAAGUGUCAACAUGUUUAUAACAGAGUUAAAGAUAAAGGAAACCUUUUGGGUUAUUUUGGAGAAUUGAGGGCAAGACAAAAGGCUCCCUAACUGCAGGGAAAGGGGAGGCAAGUCAUGAGCUCUGAGAAGGCCUGGCAGUGUCUGUGAACACAUGAGAUGUGCCUGUCACCCCAACUCUGCCAAGGCAGCGUGCAAACAGCCCCUGUUGCACCUCCACUUUCUGCCUGGAGGCCCGAGCAACCGAAGGCUGUCACAUCAGCCCAGCUACUGGGAAAUGCCAAUUUGGAAGCCCAGGACUUACCGCCAAACCUACGGGCCAGUCCCCCGUACAUGUAAAAGUACACCCACCCCAGCAUGGACAUGAUAUUUAUAGGAGUGUUUCUCAACUGAGGGCAAUUUUGCCCCCUGGGGACAUUUGGUUGUCACAAAUGAGGGAGGGGGUGCUAGUGGCAUCUAGUGGGUGGAGGCCAGGGGUGCUGCUCAACCUCCCACAGCCCACAGGACAGCCCCCACAACGGAAUUACCCAGCUGCCCCAAACCUCGGUAGUGCUGAGGUUGUGAUACCCUGAUUUAUGGCAACAUUCCCUCUGAAAACACAAAGCUCUAUUACUUGGAUCCCUGGAGCAGAAGUAACUUUUUAAUAAACAAAAUGGCUUAUUUUC
ensembl:lncRNA LYRM4-AS1 LYRM4 antisense RNA 1